rnacentral:lncRNA from 1 species
UCAUUCACCACCCCCUCCAGUCAAGUCUCCUCCUCCACCGUACCAUUACUCCUCACCACCACCUCCGGUGAAAUCCCCACCACCACCAUACCUAUACAACUCUCCACCGCCACCAGUAAAAUCUCCCCCACCUCCAGUCUACAUCUACGCUUCUCCGCCACCUCCCACACAUUACUAGGCUCGUCAAAUUCAACAAAAUUUCCCCAUUAUUCAAGUAAGUCCAACACUCCU